rnacentral:misc_RNA from 1 species
CGUCUGUGGGAGGGUCGGAUAGAGUCAAAACAAUCGCGUCGCUUGCUCUUGCGACGCGCUCUGGACCUUCGCGGCCGUAAAAUCCGGCGCUCACCGAAUCGCUCGCUCGGCGGUUUGCGUGUUGCGCCCGGUGGCCCCGUGGUCUUAAGCACAAGCCGCGCCGUUGUCCGUGUUCGUCUCGGGACGUCCGSGACGCCGCCUUGCUCUCGGCGGCGGCCAAAUUUCCUCUCCGUCACCGCUAKGCGGGACCCGGCUCGCUCUCGCUAACGGGCCCGCUUAUAACCAGCUUCAGGGUGACGGGCGGAGGAGAGAAGCUUACGSUGACGCUCGAUCGACGAGUCGGCGCCCGUACGAAAAAAAUUGGAAAAAAAAUAACCGUGCGUUGCGCGUUAUUUUUUUUUUCCUUUCUUUCCGACCUCAGAUCGGACGAGAUUACCCCCUGAAUUUAAGCAUAGAAA